GUGGCAGCAGCCGCGGUAAAACCAGCACCUCAAGUGGUCAGGAUGAUUAUUGGGCCUAAAGCAUCCGUAGCCUGCUCUGUAAGUUUUCGGUUAAAUCUGUACGCUCAACGUACAGGCUGCCGGGAAUACUGCAGGGCUAGGGAGUGGGAGAGGUAGACGGUACUCGGGAGGAAGUGGUAAAAUGCUUUGAUCUCUCGAUGACCACCUGUGGCGAAGGCGGUCUACCAGAACACGUCCGACGGUGAGGGAUGAAAGCUGGGGGAGCAAACCGGAUUAGAUACCCGGGUAGUCCCAGCUGUAAACUAUGCAAACUCAGUGAUGCAUUGGCUUGUGGCCAAUGCAGUGUUGCAGGGAAGCCGUUAAGUUUGCCGCCUGGGAAGUACGUACGCAAGUAUGAAACUUAAAGGAAUUGGCGGGGGAGCACCACAAGGGGUGAAGCCUGCGGUUCAAUUGGAGUCAACGCCAGAAAUCUUACCCGGAGAGACAGCAGAAUGAAGGUCAAGCUGAAGACUUUACCAGACAAGCUGAGAGGUGGUGCAUGGCCGUCGCCAGCUCGUGCCGUGAGAUGUCCUGUUAAGUCAGGUAACGAGCGAGAUCCCUGCCUCUAGUUGCCACCAUUACUCUCAGGAGUAGUGGGGCGAAUUAGCGGGACCGCCGCAGUUAAUGCGGAGGAAGGAAGGGGCCACGGCAGGUCAGUAUGCCCCGAAACUCUGGGGCCACACGCGGGCUGCAAUGGUAAUGACAAUAUGUUCCGAAUCCGAAAGGAAGAGGCAAUCCCUAAACAUUACCACAGUUAUGACUGAGGGCUGCAACUCGCCCUCACGAAUAUGGAAUCCCUAGUAACUGCGUGUCAUUAUCGCGCGGUGAAUACGUCCCUGCUCCUUGCACACACCGCCCGUC
rnacentral:rRNA from 1 species